GGGACAGUUCUCAGGGUUAUGUGGACCGCUGUCCGUUUGACACCAUCUGCUGAACUCCGGGUCUACACCCAAACCUGUAAAAAUUUUUCUUUCGGCCACCGGGAUCCCAUUCCUGGUAUCUCAACCCAGGUUUUCUUUUGGAGACUUUCCCUCCGUAAGGUGAUGAUUGGACUCGGCCCUGAGCUUCCUUCCGGCUUCUGGGCUUAGCGUGAAGAGAAAGUGGACUAGCUUCUGGUCUUCUCCGUCCCACCUACUAUAUUUCCACAGCCCUUCGUCGCAAUUAAGCCUUUGAGGAGAUCCGGGGAGUGAAGGGAGUGAGGACUUCAGGGGGCUAAGCCCAGUUCCCUUGAGGCUAGAGGACUCUUCUCCCUCUGCGAAGCUUAGGAGGGGUUUGCGCCUCUCGGUUCCAGCAAGUGUGAGGAAGACAGGUCGCCUUUGGGAGGUGGGGGUUGGAGGAUGUGUAAGCCAGCCACAAUUUUGCGAAUUACUCUAGAAAAUAGAAAUCCUUUUAAUGAACAAGAUGUUCUGCUACGAUCUUUGGCGUCACUGAACUGAAGCACUUUGGGAGUUUACUUUGUUGAACUAAUUAGGGAUCUGGAUGCGGUUUUGAACUAACUGGUCCAAUAGCUUCAGGAUUUCUUCCUCCAUGUAACCCGUGACACCUUCUGUUUCAGUUCAAGAUGCCUUUUGAAACACAGGCAUUGUCUCAGGAUGAACUUCGCAAGAAGUUGUACCAGACAUUUAAGAAUCGGGGUAUUUUGGAUACACUCAAGACUCAACUUCGAAACCAGCUUAUACAUGAGUUGAUGCAUCCUGUUUUGAGUGGAGAACUGCAGCCUCAGUCCAUUCCUGUUGAAGGAAGCUCAUUAUUAGUUGGGGCUUCUAAUAGCCUUGUGGCUGAUCAUCUUCGAAGAUGUGGUUAUGAAUAUUCACUCUCUGUUUUCUUUCCUGAAAGUGGUUUAGAAAAAGAAAAGGUAUUUACUAUGCAAGAUCUACUCCAACUGAUUAAAAUCAGCCCCAAAUCCAGUCUCUACAAAUCAUUGACUUCAAGGUUUCAAAAAGAGAACCAAAAAGGUUUUCUCAUGCAGAUUUUGAAGGAAUUGACAGAAUAUCAUCUAUCCAAGGAAAGUUGCAAUAUGGAGACUCAAACAAGUUCAGCAUUAUUACCUACUAGAGAAUCUCUUGCUGAAAAACUUCAGCUUAUUGAUGAGCAAUUUGCAGAUAUUUAUCCCCAGCGCCUUAAACUGGAAUCUUUAGAAACAAAGCUCAAUGAAUAUAAGAAAGAAAUAGAACAACAGCUUCAAUCAGAAAUGGCUCAAAAGCUGCAGCAUUUUAAAGAUAUUGAGAUAGCAAGAAUGAGAAUGGAAGAAAAAAGAAGACUCCAAAAAGAAAUGUCUGAAUUGCGGCAAGAAUUUGAAAAAACACACCAAGCAAAAUCCGAAGCACUAAUUUCUCGAGAAAAGAAUGCUAUUGAGAGACUUCAAAAGCACCAGGAGAUUGAAGCAAAAGAAAUUUACAUCCAGAGACAGGAUUUGCUGAAAGACAUUGAAAUGGUAAGAAGUAGAGAAGCUGAACUAAAGCAGCGAAUGGAAGCUUUUGAAUUAACCCAGAAGCUACAAGAAGAAAAAUAUAAAACCCUGGAAGAAUCCCUGAGAAGGAGAGAGCUGAAUGUUAGGAACAUGGAGGAUGCAUAUGAACAAAGGCUCAAGAAUGAACUUCUAAAAUAUCAGCUUGAACUAAAGGAAGAAUACAUAACCAGAUCUAAUAGAGUGCUUGAAGAAGAACAAAAGAACAAAGAGAAAGCUAUGCGUUUGCAAGAAGAAGCUAAUGCUAUUAAUUCAAGAAGGGAAGAACUCAGGGAAGCUAUAUCUCAUGGCAAAAAUCUUGAGCUUGAAUUGGAUUCUCUCAAAGAACAGAUUUUAUUAGUAACAAAACAAAACCAGUCACUGAGUGAAAAAAUUAAAGAUACUACUGAUUAUUUACUUUUAAAAGAAGAUCGACUGGCGCUUCAGGCACAAAAUAAAUUGCUUAAACAACAAAUGGAAGAGAUUCAAAAUGAAAACAUGCACCUCCAAAGAAAAUCUACUCAGCCAUCACCUGAGUUCAUAGCCUUACAGAAAGAAUCAAAGAUGACAGAAAACGCAAGAAAGCUUGAACAAAAGGCAUUUGAGACUGAGAAACAAUCCCUGGAAAAACGACUUCAAACCGAGGUUGAACGUUGUUCAUUACUGAAGAACCAGAUAUUAGAUUAUGAAGUUUCUACGAGGAGGUUAAAUAUGCAGAUUGAUGACUUGAAAUUGCAACUUAGGCAAACCCAGACAGCUUUAGAAAAUGAAGUAUACCGAAACUCGAAGCCAUCGUUGGUUGAUCACUCAGGCAUUAAUUUCACAAGUGACAAGAUUGUACCUCAUGAUAAUUAUAUAGAUAAUUUUUUCAAGAAUCGACUCUUUUCUGAUGAUAUUGUCCAGUGUGAAGAUGUUCCAAGGAGCAGGUAUUACCAGCAUCCCAGAAUUGGGAGUGAUUCCACAGAUACUGACCUUGAAUUUGUAGCUAGUACUAAAGCAAGGGUUAAAGAACUAGAAAAAGAGGCAGAACACUUAGAAGAAGCCUACAGGAAUUACCAGCAACGAGUUUCUCAAACCACAUUGAAAAGCAUUUCACCAGCAAGGAGUCAGUCUCCUUUACUUAUACCAGAAAUUCUAAGUAGUAGCAUUCUUGAAAAACAUAUUUUUGCGGAGAACAAAUUUGUUUCUGAGCAGCUUCCACUCAGCAGUUCAAAAGAUGAAAGGGGUGAUGGGAUUACUGAUUACCAAACUCCACAGCAAAGGAGAACUCCUUCCCCCAAACAUCUUUCCUCUACUCCACGUCCAAAAGCAAGGAGAAGCCUUAGUAGCCAGAUCUAUUUAGGAGGUAACAAUGAUGGUUCAUUUGUUGGGUCUCCCUGUCCACCUGCUGACAAAAUUCCAUCACCAAUUCCGAAGACAAGUCAACCCCUUUCUGCAUUAUCUGCUCCCAAUAUCUCAGUUUCUUGCUUACCAGGCAAUCAUGAACAGAAUUCAAGUAAUUCUGAGAAGCACACGUAUCAAGAUAUAAGUGGAUUUUCAGAUGCAGAGAAAUUAGACAUUGAAGAUGUUCAAAAUCAGUCUUCUUUAGAAUGGAAUAAUGGAGCCAUUGUCCAAACCUCUUUUAGAUGGUGGGAACAUUCCAAAGCAACUUGAAAGAGAUGUGUUAUAUCAAUCGGGAGAUAAGGUUCCCACUAACAAUAUCAUAGACAAUGAGCCAACAAUAACUACUUUUCAUCAAGACCCAAAUUUAGAAGAACAGAACACAGAAGAAAAAUGGGAAGAGAAACGGAGAGAGAGAGAAGAAAAGCGACAGAGAGAAAGAUUGGAAGUUUUUGAAAGAGAACAAAAA